UACGAAGGUGGCAAGCGUUGUUCGGAUUUACUGGGCGUACAGGGAGCGUAGGCGGUUGGAUAAGCCCUCCGUGAAAUCUCCAGGCUUAACCUGGAAAGUGCAGAGGGGACUGUUCAGCUAGAGGAUGGGAGAGGAGCGCGGAAUUCCCGGUGUAGCGGUGAAAUGCGUAGAUAUCUGGAGGAACACCGGUGGCGAAGGCGGCAUCCUGGACCGGCAUUGACGCUGAGGCGCGAAAGCCAGGGGAGCAAACGGG
rnacentral:rRNA from 2 species